ACACUGGCCUCCUCGAGCGCGCCGCCCGCGCCCAGCGCCCCACGCCCCGCGCCCCGGGCCGUGCAGCCAGCCCUUACCUUGCAGCGCCCGGCUGUCUCCCGAUCGCUAAAGCUACUUAUCCCGGGAAAGCUCGCGCGGGACCCGGGAACGAACCCACAGACAAAAAGUGAAACUUCGGCAGGGCUGGAGCGGCUGCUGGUUGGUGCCUUUCCCCCUCCUUCCUCCCCACCGUCCCCACCCCCUCCCCUUGGUCUCCCGUGCGGUGCCCUGAGCGCUGGAGGCUGACGUCAGGGGCCUGAAUUCCUGACUUUGCCUGCACGCAUUUGUCCAUGUAAGGUAUGGGAAGGCGUGUGCCCGCGAAGCCGCCGCGCAGAGCUCGCCUGGCGGGGGAGGGGAAACCCGCAGCCGGCAGUGGCUUUGCCAAAAGGUGGGCGCACUGAGGGCAUUGCAUUUCCUGGGAGGAAGAGGAGGAGACGCGGGAAUGCAGGGAGCUUGCAAAGGAGGAAGAGAAAGAGGGAGAUGUGGAGACUUUGCCCCUGCUAGAGGAAGAGGAAGGAGACGUAGGAGGAAGCGGCCGCGUCAGGGGGCUCCUGGAAAAUGGAAAAGCCUGCGUCUACUAUUAAGGCGUCAAAUUAGGGCACUGAGCUUGAGUGGAAGAGAUCCAGCCAUGAAAUCCCCUUCCAAGAUUUUCCUCGUGAGCCCCGCCCUGGAUUCCCAGCAAGACUCAAAACUUACAAGGUGUCAGAGCUGGCAAAGACCAACUUCCAACCCGUCCGCUUGGCACGUGAGGAAACUGAAGCUCUCGGAAGAGAAAUGACUUGUACAGGGUCGUCACUCAGCAGAUCGAGGAGCGGGCCCAGGCGCUCUGCCUCCCACUUGGGUUCCCGCCUCCAGGAAGGGCCCUGGCUCCCUUUUAGCCCUGAGCCUUGAAGCAGGUUAGAUGCCCGCGAGCUGUGCGGACCACCCAGUGAUUUCUACUGCUCUUGGCCCAGAGCCAGUUCCUGGAAGGUCCUGGUUGACAGCGAGCCCUGAAUAUCAAUGACAAUCAGUUGCUUCAGGGCAACUUCCUCUGUCCUGUGCUCAAAUAAAUGAAUCCCUGGA
rnacentral:lncRNA from 1 species